GCCAGGAAUGGUAGCACACGCCUGUAAUCCCAGUGGCUCAGGAGGCUGAGACAGGAGGAUCAUGAGUUUGAAGCCAGCCCCAGCAAUGGAGAGGAACUAAGCAACUCUGUGAGACCCUGUCUCUA
rnacentral:sRNA from 1 species